CCUACGGGAGGCAGCAGUGAGGAAUAUUGGUCAAUGGGCGGAAGCCUGAACCAGCCAAGUCGCGUGAGGGAUUAAGGCCCUGCGGGUCGUAAACCUCUUUUGCCGGGGAGCAGAGGUCCGGACGUGUCCGGGCCGGGAGAGUACCCGGAGAAAAAGCAUCGGCUAACUCCGUGCCAGCAGCCGCGGUAAUACGGAGGCUGCGAGCGUUUGCCGGAUUUAUUGGGUUUAAAGGGUGCGUAGGCGGGCAUUUAAGCCGGCGGUCAAAUUUCGGGGCUCAACCCCGGCCUGCCGUCGGCACUGGGUGCCUGGAGUGGGCGAGAAGUAUGCGGAAUGCGUGGUGUAGCGGUGAAAUGCAUAGAGAUCACGCAGAACCCCGAUUGCGAAGGCAGCAUACCGGCGCCCUUCUGACGCUGAGGCACGAAAGUGCGGGUAUCGAACAGGAUUAGAUACCCCAGUAGUC
rnacentral:rRNA from 1 species